rnacentral:rRNA from 1 species
AUUGAACGCUGGCGGCAGGCCUAACACAUGCAAGUCGAACGAGUGGCGGACGGGUGAGUAAUGUCUGGGAAACUGCCUGAUGGAGGGGGAUAACUACUGGAAACGGUAGCUAAUACCGCAUACCAUCAGAUGUGCCCAGAUGGGAUUAGCUUGUUGGUGGGGUAACGGCUCACCAAGGCGACGAUCCCUAGCUGGUCUGAGAGGAGGACCGGCCACACUGGAACGGGGACACGGCCCAGACUCCUAGGGGGGGCAGCAGGGGGGAAUUUUGCACAAUGGGGGCAGGCCGGAGGCAGCCAUGCGGCGUGUAUGAAGAGGGCCUUCGGGUUGUAAAGUACUUUCAGCGGGGAGACGUUACCCGCAGAAGAAGCACCGGCUAACUCCGUGCCAGCGCCGCGGUAAUAC